rnacentral:rRNA from 1 species
AUUGAACGCUGGCGGCAGGCUUAACACAUGCAAGUCGAGCGGAGUGAUGGUGCUUGCACUAUCACUUAGCGGCGGACGGGUGAGUAAUGCUUAGGAAUCUGCCAUUUAGUGGGGGACAACAUUCCGAAAGGAAUGCUAAUACCGCAUACGUCCUACGGGAGAAAGCAGGGGAUCUUCGGACCUUGCGCUAAAUGAUGAGCCUAAGUCGGAUUAGCUAGUUGGUGGGGUAAAGGCCUACCAAGGCGACGAUCUGUAGCGGGUCUGAGAGGAUGAUCCGCCACACUGGGACUGAGACACGGCCCAGACUCCUACGGGAGGCAGCAGUGGGGAAUAUUGGACAAUGGGCGGAAGCCUGAUCCAGCCAUGCCGCGUGUGUGAAGAAGGCCUUUUGGUUGUAAAGCACUUUAAGCGAGGAGGAGGCUCUUCUAGUUAAUACCUAGGAUGAGUGGACGUUACUCGCAGAAUAAGCACCGGCUAACUCUGUGCCAGCCGCCGCCGUAAGAC